GGCAUGACAUCACAUCACACAGACGUUUCCGAGCCUGGAGAACAGCCCUGCAGAGACUGCGGUGGGUCCCAGCGGUGGUUCCCCUGCGAUCAGACAUCUUAUCCCCUAUUCCCCUUUUCACAACAACUGGAGAGCCACAGGCCCUUAGAAACAGCCUUUGAAAAUCCAGCUGAGUGUGGCAAAAAACUACACAAACCAUGAGCCCCCCCACUUGUUUCCUGAAUAAGCUGCAGGGAGGGGCUGCCUUCAGAGAGUGAGCAGUCCAUAUGUUCCUCAGCCAAUCAGAGAAGAUCACACAUGUACAUCAACUGUAGACGCAUCAAGUGUGAUAAGAACUACUGGACUUCCUGCCUGGAGGAAAAGCUGAGCGAAACAGGCUGUUUUACUCAUAUCAUGUACCAGGUGCUGCUUUUCUGGAGAAUGCGCAGGGACCCUAACCACUGGCAGGGAGCCGCCUCGCUUGCUGCUAAUUUGGACUAAUUAAGGGUAACUAUGGAAGGAAGGAGGGGGAAGAUCCCAAAAGACACUCAAGGAUUGAGCGGCUGUGUAGGGAGUUGCUAUAGUAACAGGUUUAUUUUGGAUCAAUUGCUUGCUAACCUGUCAGUUGUCCAGACAGCCUAAUGAAAUGUUCACUGCAUGGGGAGAAAAUUGCCACAGGCAUGGAUAUCCUAAAGGAUGGGGAAAAUCCUUCUUGACUCCCAAUAUACACUGCUCAAAAAAAUAAAGGGUACAC